rnacentral:rRNA from 1 species
CAUAGGUUAAUGAGGCGAACCGGGGGAACUGAAACAUCUAAGUACCCCGAGGAAAAGAAAUCAACCGAGAUUCCCCCAGUAGCGGCGAGCGAACGGGGAGGAGCCCAGAGCCUGAAUCAGCAUGUGUGUUAGUGGAAGCGUCUGGAAAGGCGCGCGAUACAGGGUGACAGCCCCGUACACAAAAGCGCAUGUGCUGUGAGCUCGAUGAGUAGGGCGGGACACGUGGUAUCCUGUCUGAAUAUGGGGGGACCAUCCUCCAAGGCUAAAUACUCCUGACUGACCGAUAGUGAACCAGUACCGUGAGGGAAAGGCGAAAAGAACCCCGGCGAGGGGAGUGAAAAAGAACCUGAAACCGUGUACGUACAAGCAGUGGGAGCCCCACCACUAAGCCAGUGGUGAACUCCACAUACGCAUCCUUUGCUGAGGAUACGGUUAACGGAGCGCAAGCGACGUUCAACCGCAAAAGAAGCAGAGGGGGCUUAGUGGUGGGGUGACUGCGUACCUUUUGUAUAAUGGGUCAGCGACUUAUAUUCUGUAGCAAGGUUAACCGUAUAGGGGAGCCGGAGGGAAACCGAG